AGAUGUCUCCUGCAGAAGCCAACCACCCAGAGGCUCACCUGCACCCUGCUCUGUGUCUCAGCAAAUAAAACCGACCGGACUGGGAGCAGCGGCUCAGGCGCUUGAGCUUCAAGGACAGCUCAUCAUCAGCUGCUGAACUCACCUAACAACGAACGUCUCUGGCGUCCGGCUUGGUGCCAACGCUACCUGAAAGGACUCAUUUACUUCUAAAAGAAGCUGAAGUAGCUCUGGAAGGCCCGUCGGAGCUCAAAGGGGAAAAGCAAGCAGAUUUGGAACCGAGGAAAACCAAACAGCCGCGGAGCGUGGUUCGUGCCAGGGCCUGCAGAGAGCAGGCCCGCGGCUCUGGGAGGCGACUUCCGACCAAGGCUCGGCGGGCGGGACGAAGGGCGAGCCGCGGGAGCUAAGCAGUGCGGUCAGACCCUUUCCCACGUCAGCAGGAGGCUGCCAGGUGGAGCAGAAUCUCUCCUCGGGGGCAGAGCUUCCUCGGUGGGCAAAGGCAAUCCGGCCAGGACAAAAGCAGACAAAGCAAGCCACGAGGGGCAGGAUUUGCUGGACUCUGCCCAACGCACUCCCUACACCGAGUACUCGGUGCAUGUUGCCUGGACGAAGGCGGGGAGGACGGAGAAAUGACUCCCAGUCAGGCGAUCACACGCAAGCCACCAGAGGAGGUCCUCGGGGCCUACUUGUCCCCACGGAAGGGGCGUCUCUCCGCAGCUUCCUCCAUCAGAGGCCUCUACCUGCGCCACGAGCACUGUCAGGAAAGAGAACUGGCGAAUUCUCGAGAUCGCCCAUUCUUCUCCUGCUUCUUCUUUUCAUUCGGAUGAGGAAUACAGCCAUGGGGACACAUGUUUUUAAUUGUAAAGAUGCUGAUACAGCCACGCAGGCAGGUUGGACCCGAGAGGAAGCGGAUAUUCGGUCUCUACCCACCCCCCCCAGGUUCCUGACUCAGAGCUCCGAAACCCGCCGGGACUCCCUGGGCAGGGAAAGAGCGCAGCCGGCCAUUCUUGCGGAGCGGCCCCUGCAGGACCAAUUCCCCGAGUUUUCCUGCAUCCGAGCGCGUCCCGAUAUCCCCUUCGUGUCCUCAGAAAGGAGCUGCAGCUGCCGCGGGACCGGGCAGCAGCUGCACUGCGGGGCAUGAGUGCCCAGAAGCGAGGACUUCUGGUCCCCAAAACACCUGGGCGUGAACGCGGACAGCAGCUCCAGUCGCACGAGCCUCAAGCUGCAAGCGCCGCGUGUCGCGCCGUGUCCCAGGUUCCACACCGGACGGGGCCUUUCAGUUCGUGGCUUCCACGUCCUCCCCGCCGAAAAAUGUCACGUUGGAGGGUCCUCAAUGGCUGUGACGCGUAGUCCAGAGCGUGAAAGGAUGACAACUCUGAAGCCAGACCACGUGGGGCAGGUCCCACGACGAGGCAGCUGAAGGCCUGGGACACCGGCCUGACUUCCCCGCGUGGUUAUUUCCUCACCUGCAACAACCGGGAUCACGAGGCACCUACCUGCAAAGCCCUGGGCGAGGCUGCUGGCACGCGGUUCGCUCCCAGCCCGGACACCUGGUUCUGCCCCCGCCCCCGCCCCCGCCCGGUACGUGGCCUCAUACACGCUUGCCGAAUGAAUGGGUGUGGGAAUAAAUGAAUUGUUAAGACUCUGAAAUAUUUUCCCCGCAGCUGGGUAAGUCACUGGCUUUCCGCUGUCCCUGUCCCUGCGAACCAACCCAGGUAGGGCUGAACGCGACCAUUAGAACGGAGUGCCCUGCGCACCGCGGGAUCCAGGGCUUGUGUUUCUGACAAAUGGGGCACUUACUUUAAACGUGUUAUAAAACGUCACCAUGGGCCCUGCUGGUAAACCCUGAGAGUGUCCCCCUAGGGGGCGCCCCUGAGCUGGGGGUCGGAGGGGGCGCCAUGAGUCUGACCCCUCCUCCCCAACAUCCUCCGCCACCCCACCCCCACCCGCCACCUCCUGCUCCAAAGCGCCGGAACACACACAUCCGAGUGCGCA